rnacentral:rRNA from 1 species
UUAAGUUAUUAAGGGCGCACGGUGGAUGCCUUGGCACUAGAAGCCGAUGAAGGACGUUACUAACGACGAUAUGCUUUGGGGAGCUGUAAGUAAGCUUUGAUCCAGAGAUUUCCGAAUGGGGAAACCCAACAUGAGUUAUGUCAUGUUAUCGAUAUGUGAAUACAUAGCAUAUCAGAAGGCACACCCGGAGAACUGAAACAUCUUAGUACCCGGAGGAAGAGAAAGAAAAUUCGAUUCCCUUAGUAGCGGCGAGCGAAACGGGAAGAGCCCAAACCAACAAGCUUGCUUGUUGGGGUUGUAGGACACUCUAUACGGAGUUACAAAGGACGACAUUAGACGAAUCAUCUGGAAAGAUGAAUCAAAGAAGGUAAUAAUCCUGUAGUCGAAAAUGUUGUCUCUCUUGAGUGGAUCCUGAGUACGACGGAGCACGUGAAAUUCCGUCGGAAUCUGGGAGGACCAUCUCCUAAGGCUAAAUACUCUCUAGUGACCGAUAGUGAACCAGUACCGUGAGGGAAAGGUGAAAAGCACCCCGGAAGGGGAGUGAAAUAGAACCUGAAACCGUGUGCUUACAAGUAGUCAGAGCCCGUUAAUGGGUGAUGGCGUGCCUUUUGUAGAAUGAACCGGCGAGUUACGAUUUGAUGCAAGGUUAAGCAGUAAAUGUGGAGCCGUAGCGAAAGCGAGUCUGAAUAGGGCGUUUAGUAUUUGGUCGUAGACCCGAAACCAGGUGAUCUACCCUUGGUCAGGUUGAAGUUCAGGUAACACUGAAUGGAGGACCGAACCGACUUACGUUGAAAAGUGAGCGGAUGAACUGAGGGUAGCGGAGAAAUUCCAAUCGAACCUGGAGAUAGCUGGUUCUCUCCGAAAUAGCUUUAGGGCUAGCCUCAAGUGAUGAUUAUUGGAGGUAGAGCACUGUUUGGACGAGGGGCCCCUCUCGGGUUACCGAAUUCAGACAAACUCCGAAUGCCAAUUAAUUUAACUUGGGAGUCAGAACAUGGGUGAUAAGGUCCGUGUUCGAAAGGGAAACAGCCCAGACCACCAGCUAAGGUCCCAAAAUAUAUGUUAAGUGGAAAAGGAUGUGGCGUUGCCCAGACAACUAGGAUGUUGGCUUAGAAGCAGCCAUCAUUUAAAGAGUGCGUAAUAGCUCACUAGUCGAGUGACACUGCGCCGAAAAUGUACCGGGGCUAAACAUAUUACCGAAGCUGUGGAUUGUCCUUUGGACAAUGGUAGGAGAGCGUUCUAAGGGCGUUGAAGCAUGAUCGCAAGGACAUGUGGAGCGCUUAGAAGUGAGAAUGCCGGUGUGAGUAGCGAAAGACGGGUGAGAAUCCCGUCCACCGAUUGACUAAGGUUUCCAGAGGAAGGCUCGUCCGCUCUGGGUUAGUCGGGUCCUAAGCUGAGGCCGACAGGCGUAGGCGAUGGAUAACAGGUUGAUAUUCCUGUACCACCUAUAAUCGUUUUAAUCGAUGGGGGGACGCAGUAGGAUAGGCGAAGCGUGCGAUUGGAUUGCACGUCUAAGCAGUAAGGCUGAGUAUUAGGCAAAUCCGGUACUCAUUAAGGCUGAGCUGUGAUGGGGAGAAGACAUUGUGUCUUCGAGUCGUUGAUUUCACACUGCCGAGAAAAGCCUCUAGAUAGAAAAUAGGUGCCCGUACCGCAAACCGACACAGGUAGUCAAGAUGAGAAUUCUAAGGUGAGCGAGCGAACUCUCGUUAAGGAACUCGGCAAAAUGACCCCGUAACUUCGGGAGAAGGGGUGCUCUUUAGGGUUAACGCCCAGAAGAGCCGCAGUGAAUAGGCCCAAGCGACUGUUUAUCAAAAACACAGGUCUCUGCUAAACCGUAAGGUGAUGUAUAGGGGCUGACGCCUGCCCGGUGCUGGAAGGUUAA